rnacentral:rRNA from 1 species
UACGUAGGGCGCAAGCGUUGUCCGGAAUCAUUGGGCGUAAAGAGCUCGUAGGUGGUCUGUUACGUCUGCUGUGAAAACCUAGGGCUUAACCCUGGGCCUGCAGUGGAUACGGGCAGACUAGAGGUAGGUAGGGGAGAAUGGAAUUCCCGGUGUAGCGGUGAAAUGCGCAGAUAUCGGGAGGAACACCGGUGGCGAAGGCGGUUCGCUGGGCCUUACCUGACACUGAGGAGCGAAAGCGUGGGGAGCAAACAGG